GACGAACGCUGGCGGCGUGCCUAAUACAUGCAAGUAGAACGCUGAAGGAGGAGCUUGCUUCUCUGGAUGAGUUGCGAACGGGUGAGUAACGCGUAGGUAACCUGCCUGGUAGCGGGGGAUAACUAUUGGAAACGAUAGCUAAUACCGCAUAAGAGUAGAUGUUGCAUGACAUUUGCUUAAAAGGUGGAAUUGCAUCACUACCAGAUGGACCUGCGUUGUAUUAGCUAGUUGGUGGGGUAACGGCUUACCAAGGCGACGAUACAUAGCCGACCUGAGAGGGUGAUCGGCCACACUGGGACUGAGACACGGCCCAGACUCCUACGGGAGGCAGCAGUAGGGAAUCUUCGGCAAUGGACGGAAGUCUGACCGAGCAACGCCGCGUGAGUGAAGAAGGUUUUCGGAUCGUAAAGCUCUGUUGUAAGAGAAGAACGAGUGUGAGAGUGGAAAGUUCACACUGUGACGGUAUCUUACCAGAAAGGGACGGCUAACUACGUG
rnacentral:rRNA from 1 species